GGCGCCAAGGCACGGAGUUGACGUCAACGGAGUCCGUGUUAGGGGCCCCCAAGCAGAGUCUGGAAAAGGGGGAUGGGAUGUGGGUGUGAAGGGAUGCAGCCCCCCCAAAAGAAAUCGGGGUGAAUCAGAAAUACCUACUAAUGAUGCCCCAAUGCAAAACCUGAGAAGAGAGAGGGGAAAAGGACAAGCAUAUAUUUGUCUAAAAUCGGGAAAAAGGAAAAACCAUGAAAAAUCGAGGCAGAAACACAUACGUUGAGGUCUAACCACGAACGAUAAAGGUGGAAGAAAGGACUUUUCUGCCUGCAACACCCAAGUACUAAGCUAAUUUCCUUAAUAAACGAAGAGCUAUUGGAAACCAGCAAGGGAAAGACAAAAGCAAACCAAAAAGGGGCAAAAGAGACUGCAAGUCACAGGACAAUACAAAUGGCUGGAAGAAUCAUGACCUGACUGUCUGCAUAGCGAAACGCCAACCUGAGAUACUGGGUGAAGGCGGUUUAUGGCAGCGCGCUGAAUCGCAUGUGGUCACCCACCAUUGCAUGAAUCCACUGCAUAGAAUAGCAAGAGAUUGCAAGGGGAGUAAGCGGGUAGAUUACCAAGCCCGCCUGUGAUAGAAGACAUCCCUGUCACCAGGAAAAAUAACGGGGGUAUCGCUGCCAUAAAGGACCUGAAUCGUAAUAGAUCCAGUGAAAUAAAGCCCGCUGCUGAAGUUUGUAGAAACGAAAUGUUGUUGCUUCCAAGUGUACAGUGCCAUUUUCCUGAGGCUAUAUGACCUGUGACACCAUAACAGGCUGAAGGCUCAAGCAGAUGAGAAUUCCAACUGCUCCCUAUCAAGUCUGACACCGAUGACAUUUGCAGAGAUGUAAAACGAUGCUACCAGGUAGCCACAUCUGCUGUGUGUCCAUGAUUGCAUGCCAUGUCCAGAAGACGGUGUUUCAUGUCGCACCUUCCCAUCCUGCCAUCAGCCCUACGUCCUACACAGUAACUCAGCUGUUUCCUGUACAGGUCUCUCCCAUGCCCCUUCAUCUCCAUAUCUCCAUGGCUGUACCUGUGUUCCUGGUCACCCCGUGUCUCCCUCACUCCCCGACCCACGUGGCCUCUGAUCAACUCAGCAUUUGCAGCCACAGGGAUCUUCUCAAGAGGAAAAUUGGAGGGCAUCACCUCCUCGCUCGAAACUGGCCAGUGCCCAUUAGGCUGAAGACCUCAGCAUUCGCCUGACCAUCUAGUAGGCCAUCAACCUCCCCUGUUUCCGGUUCCCUGACAUCAGUUUAUUUCAUCUUCCUAAGCCCUGAUGGAGUGGAUAUCGUAAGAGUUCCUGUCUCAAUCAAAGUGCUUGCUUCAGAAUCAUGAGAGCAUGAGUUCAAUCCCCAGUAACAUGUUAAUAACAAACAAACAAACAGACCAACAAAAGCCAAGGCGGGUACUGCACACUUGUAACCCCAGUGCUGGUGAAAUGGAGCAGUAGGGAUCUUUGGCUAGUACUGAGGAUUGAACCCAGGGCCUUGUGCAUGCUAGGUGAGUGCUCUACCAACUGUGCUCCAGCCUCAGAUCCCUAUUCACUUUUUAAAUUUCCUUGCCUUGAUUGCCAGUAUCUGGUUCCUUACUCUAUCACUUCCGGGUAAAGAGCCUGACUCUUCUAUGGUGAUGUGUGGGCACUGGGAUAGGGUCUCACCAAGUCACCCAUGCUGGCCUGGAACUCACAGUCCUCUUAACUCAGUCCCCAGAGUGCUGGGACUACAUGACCACCCACCCCCAGGAGGCAGGGGCAUGACUCUGUGUCUUCCCUGAUCCCUGCGUAUAAGCCGUGCCUGACCACAGGCCUGCAGAGCAUUUGUUCAGUGACUGAGAACUCCACUGCUAGUGUGUAACAAGGUUAGAUUUAGAGUUUACACCUGACCAUACCUGGGCCGUGUGCCUCAGGAUUCUGCCAUUGAACAGCAGGAAGGGAGGGAUGAGGUUUUCAGGAGAGGAGUCACCUGCCAUCCCAUAAUAUGGCACUCAAGGGAUGAGCUGACACUGUUGAUGCCUGCAGGGAGUUUUGCAGUGGAGCAGGGACUAAGGAGUUUUUGUGUUCUUUCUUCCUGAGAUGGGACUGUCAGAGGUAGCAUGAACCCAACGCCUUUAAGGAAUGCUGAGGGCCAUCGGCGGGAGGAGCGGUAGGGCUUGGCUUUAUUUCCACCUUUCUGCUGCUGCAGGAGGCACGUUUUUGAGACUCACUUCUCCAGAAGAGCAUGGGAGCAGAACCCACACCCUCAGCUAUCAAUAUGUACAUGAAUAUAAAAAUAUGACCAGGGUCCACACCUUCCCUUUGCAGGAUAUUGCCAAACAUUCCAGGUUUUAUCACACUUUCAUGGAGUUCCAGAAACCUCUGGGCUGGUCCAUGGACUUCCGUGCAAAAUCUUUUAUUAGCAAGAACCUACUACCCCCACACCUGACAUAUCUGAUCACCUUCCUUAUCCUACCCAGUGACGUCUCAACUCCCUGCCCUGUGUCCAGCAAGACUGCUGGGUCAGAGUGGAGAGAAUUCAGCUCAUCCUUAUGUUUCCAUGGGAACCUUUCCUUCCCAUGGACCUGAUCCUGAUUCUUGCCGAUAGACAACAGCUUGCCCACACUGUGUUUGGAAUUAGACUGUAUCUUCACCCCUUAAUCUUCAUAGGAAAACCCAAGGCUGGUGACAUGGCUCAGCUGGGUAAGGGUGAUGGUGGCCAAGCAUGAUGACUUGAAUUUGGUCCCUGAUACUGGGCAUUCUUUCCGUCACGGGAAGGAGAGGGCUGACUCCUGCAAGUUGUCUUUUGAUCUCCACAAGUGCACAUCCCCCUUCCUGCAAAAUAAAUAACCUAAUGUAAUUUAAGAAGAUGAAGACGAAAAAACACUGUCAAGGUCCUUAUAUCUAUCGAGACAGUCCUCAAUAAAAUUUUUCUUACACAGUCCGUC
rnacentral:sRNA from 1 species